GAAGGUGGCCUGUGAGGGUUGCUGGAGGUAUCAGAAGUGCGAAUGCUGACAUAAGUAACGAUAAAGCGGGUGAAAAGCCCGCUCGCCGGAAGACCAAGGGUUCCUGUCCAACGUUAAUCGGGGCAGGGUGAGUCGACCCCUAAGGCGAGGCCGAAAGGCGUAGUCGAUGGGAAACGGGUUAAUAUUCCCGUACUUGGUGUUACUGCGAAGGGGGGACGGAGAAGGCUAUGUUGGCCGGGCGACGGUUGUCCCGGUUUAAGCGUGUAGGUGUGUGUUCCAGGUAAAUCCGGUUCACUUUAACACUGAGGCGUGAUGACGAGGCACUACGGUGCUGAAGCAACAAAUGCCCUGCUUCCAGGAAAAGCCUCUAAGCAUCAGGUAACAUCAAAUCGUACCCCAAACCGACACAGGUGGUCAGGUAGAGAAUACCAAGGCGCUUGAGAGAACUCGGGUGAAGGAACUAGGCAAAAUGGUGCCGUAACUUCGGGAGAAGGCACGCUGACACGUAGGUGAAGUGAUUUACUCAUGGAGCUGAAGUCAGUCGAAGAUACCAGCUGGCUGCAACUGUUUAUUAAAAACACAGCACUGUGCAAACACGAAAGUGGACGUAUACGGUGUGACGCCUGCCCGGUGCCGGAAGGUUAAUUGAUGGGGUCAGCGCAAGCGAAGCUCCUGAUCGAAGCCCCGGUAAACGGCGGCCGUAACUAUAACGGUCCUAAGGUAGCGAAAUUCCUUGUCGGGUAAGUUCCGACCUGCACGAAUGGCGUAAUGAUGGCCAGGCUGUCUCCACCCGAGACUCAGUGAAAUUGAACUCGCUGUGAAGAUGCAGUGUACCCGCGGCAAGACGGAAAGACCCCGUGAACCUUUACUAUAGCUUGACACUGAACAUUGAGCCUUGAUGUGUAGGAUAGGUGGGAGGCUUUGAAGUGUGGACGCCAGUCUGCAUGGAGCCGACCUUGAAAUACCACCCUUUAAUGUUUGAUGUUCUAACGUGGACCCGUGAUCCGGGUUGCGGACAGUGUCUGGUGGGUAGUUUGACUGGGGCGGUCUCCUCCUAAAGAGUAACGGAGGAGCACGAAGGUUGGCUAAUCCUGGUCGGACAUCAGGAGGUUAGUGCAAUGGCAUAAGC
rnacentral:rRNA from 1 species